CCCACCACCACUUCCCACCUUAUCCUACUUUCUACCCCUGGUCAACCCGUCCCCGGCCAGUGCCCGCAGCCCCGCACCACCCCAACCCACCUCCCGCAUGACCAGGACCCCAAUCCCUCCACCUCCUUUUGCCGCGCCAUCUCCCUCCACCACGCCGCACCAUCGCCUCCUUCCACUAUGCCGCACCACCACCUCCCUCUCCCGCGCCGCCGCCCCACCUCCCUCCACCGCGCCACACCACCACCUCCCUCUCCCGCGCCGCCGCCCCACCUCCCUCCACCGCGCCACACCACCACCUCCCUCCCUCGUGCCGCCGCCCUAUCUCCCUCCCACCACCCCACCACGGAGCACGCCGAUAGUCGAUCUGCCAUGGCCGGCCCUCCCUAGGCCACCGCCACGCCGCCCCUGCCUUGGCCGCCGCCGCGCCCCUGCCGUGAGCAUCGUGGGCGUCGACCACCAUCAUCUCUUCUCCGACGCCCCACCCAAGCCGCCACCCCACCCUCUCCGGCGCGGCGCGCACCACCCGAGACGCCGCCCCACCCCUCCACCUUCUUCGCGCAUGGUGCGCCCCACCCAACCGCCGACGAGGCCAAGCAUCGCCGGAUCCAGACAGCCAUGGCCCCACACGGCCCACCAUCGCCGGUUCGUAGCCCGCAAGGCCUCACGCAGAGAAGGUGGCCCCGCCUCCUCCUCCUCCUUCCUGGUUUAGAUCGAGCCGAGGACGAGCCCUCUCCUCCUCGUGGCGGUCUCCGGCGAGACCCUCAUCUGCGCCAUCCUUGGGUACUUGGGCGCCACCCACCCCGUGCAGCUCGGUCGCGGGCCCCGUGCAGCUUGGUCAGGGCACCUCUCUUCGUGCAGGUUCGCCGGCCACCACUUCUCUCUGCCGGUCUCGCUCGUCGUCAGCCACGGUGCAGCAAGCACCGGCCUCGAGCAUCCUCUCCUUGAAGGUUCAUUUUCAUUGUUGUUGUUGGAAAGACGAGUUGUUGAUGGGUUUGGUGACCCCGGCCACGGAUCCAUGGAUACCACGCCAAGUCAGCGUGCAGUUCGUUUGCGUCGGGCCUGUUGUGCAGUUGCGUGGGCAUUGCAGUGCUCGGCUCCUCCCGCGACGAGCUGUAGGGCAUCUGCCCCCGACGGCUCGGCCACCCUCUGCCCUGACCCCCUUUCUAGUUCUCCUCCUCCCCCGUAGUGCACGAGAAGAGCCCCCAACGGUCCCAGAUGAGUCCCUCUCUCUGUUCGACCUCAUUCGCCGUGGCGCAGUGCCCGCAAUUGCCUGAUUGCAGUUCAUUUUGAAUUUUUUUGAAGCUCGCUAAGUUUUGUUUAGCAGUUCGCCGUGAGAUCCAUGGCGCUAGCCACGCUGCGCCUUCUCCUGCUGCUCCAUCUGAGGCCAGGACGGGCUCUGCCGCGUUGGUAACCAGGGUGUGGCGUGACCCCGGUGAUUAUGCGCGUGGUGGUUCUCUAAUUCCCCUACAGAAGAAACUGCGUCCACCGGCGAGACUUGUUGCUGUCGAUGCCAUCCCCACUGCAGUACAGUGUGCUCAUGAUGGUUUUGUGUGUAUGUGUGUGUUUUGCGUGGUAGCCGGUCGAGGGGCUAUGUUCCUGUACAAUGCAAAAUAGCAUGAAAAUGAAGUGCACUACUAUUGUAUCCAAGUUUCAAUUCCCCCUCAAAAUACAUUGGACAUGCAAAAAAACUGUGUCGAGAGGUUCACUUUUGUCCAGAGAGAGGUUUAGUUUUAUUGUGUUGAGAGGUUCGCUCCACUAUACUAUGCACUUUUUUAGAGGUUC